AUCCUGGCUCAGAUUGAACGCUGGCGGCAUGCCUUACACAUGCAAGUCGAACGGCAGCACGGAGCUUGCUCUGGUGGCGAGUGGCGAACGGGUGAGUAAUAUAUCGGAACGUACCCUGGAGUGGGGGAUAACGUAGCGAAAGUUACGCUAAUACCGCAUACGAUCUAAGGAUGAAAGUGGGGGAUCGCAAGACCUCAUGCUCGUGGAGCGGCCGAUAUCUGAUUAGCUAGUUGGUAGGGUAAAAGCCUACCAAGGCAUCGAUCAGUAGCUGGUCUGAGAGGACGACCAGCCACACUGGAACUGAGACACGGUCCAGACUCCUACGGGAGGCAGCAGUGGGGAAUUUUGGACAAUGGGCGCAAGCCUGAUCCAGCAAUGCCGCGUGAGUGAAGAAGGCCUUCGGGUUGUAAAGCUCUUUUGUCAGGGAAGAAACGGUGAGAGCUAAUAUCUUUUGCUAAUGACGGUACCUGAAGAAUAAGCACCGGCUAACUACGUGCCAGCAGCCGCGGUAAUACGUAGGGUGCAAGCGUUAAUCGGAAUUACUGGGCGUAAAGCGUGCGCAGGCGGUUUUGUAAGUCUGAUGUGAAAUCCCCGGGCUCAACCUGGGAAUUGCAUUGGAGACUGCAAGGCUAGAAUCUGGCAGAGGGGGGUAGAAUUCCACGUGUAGCAGUGAAAUGCGUAGAUAUGUGGAGGAACACCGAUGGCGAAGGCAGCCCCCUGGGUCAAGAUUGACGCUCAUGCACGAAAGCGUGGGGAGCAAACAGGAUUAGAUACCCUGGUAGUCCACGCCCUAAACGAUGUCUACUAGUUGUCGGGUCUUAAUUGACUUGGUAACGCAGCUAACGCGUGAAGUAGACCGCCUGGGGAGUACGGUCGCAAGAUUAAAACUCAAAGGAAUUGACGGGGACCCGCACAAGCGGUGGA
rnacentral:rRNA from 1 species